rnacentral:rRNA from 1 species
ACGUAGGGGGCAAGCGUUAUCCGGAAUUAUUGGGCGUAAAGAGUGCGUAGGUGGUUUUUUAAGCGUGAGGUGAAAGGCAAUAGCUUAACUAUUGUAAGCCUUGCGAACUGGAAGGCUUGAGUGCAGGAGAGGAAAGUGGAAUUCCUAGUGUAGCGGUGAAAUGCGUAGAAAUUAGGAGGAACACCAGAGGGGGUGGCGACUUUCUGGAAUGUAACUGACACUGAGGCGGGAGAGUGUGGGGAGCAAAGAG